UCCUGAAAAACAAAAAAUGAGGAAACACCACACAUUGUUGGAGGUCGAUUUGUUGCUUCUACAUGUUCAAGUGCUAUAUCAAUACCAUAAGAUCUUGCUGUCACAAGACAAGCAAAUUCUAAAGUACACCUUCAUUUAUUUUGUAAACCUUGCUCUCAAAUUUAAAACUAUUGAUUAAAUAAAACUGGUAACAGCUAAUUAUGUGGAAAAAAUAGAGGUUGAUAGGGCUUCAGUGACCAGGCUGGGAGUCAAAGUAAGGAUCAUGAGAAGGAGAAAUAAGGAGAAGGGGAAGAUGGGAAGACAUGAGGUCUCCAUUAGACAUGAUAGAUCAGUAGCACAUGCCCAAGUGAAAGGAUCCUCAAACCUCAGCAAACAUUGAUAGAGCAGAAUUUAUUCAGGAAAGACUGUCAGCAAGGAAUUGGGAAGAACAGCAGGGGAAAUAGUCUAGCUUUAGAAAAAUAGAUUAGGCAUUAAUCCCCCAGUAAUUGAGCAAAAGCUCAAUCAUAGUAUGAGUCUUAUUCAUUUGGAAGCUAAACUGGGAUAGAAAUAACCACAAUUAACUUACACAUUAUGCAAGUUAGAACCAUCAAUAAUAACAUGUAUACAAAGAGGCAUCAUGUGCUUCUGCAUAUAAAUAUAAAGGUGGCCCUAAGUGAGAGGAGAGCUGUAAACACUUCUGAUAUAAGUAAGGAAGAAUCCUAAAAUACUUCUCAUCUGGUGUUGUUUUAAGUGAAGUAGAUCACAGAAAAUAUUAGAAACUUCUACAGUAUAAUACAUCUAAGAACAGUAAACUGGAGAAAAAGGUCAACUACAAAACAGUGUGUUGGGGCUGGAGAGAUGGCUCAGCAGUUAAGAUUACUGACUACUUUUCCAAAGGACAUGGGUUUGAUUCCUAGAUGUCACAUGGAUACUCACAACUGUGUGUAACUCCAGUUACAGAGAAUUGGACAAUCUCUUAGACAUAAAAGGUAACAAAAUACAAACAUAUAAAUACCUUAGUUAGAGCUUCUAUUCUUGUCAUGAAACUCUGAUCAAAAAUUAGCUUUGAGAAGAAAGGGAUUAUUGGGCUUAUACUUCCAUAGCAUGGUUCAUCAUUGAAGGAAGUCAGUACAGGGUCUCAAACAGGACAGAAACCUGCAGGCAGGAGAUGCUUUAGAAAUAAUGAAGGAGUUCUAUUAAAGGGCUUUCUGUACAUGGCUUACUCAGCUAGCUUCUUUAUAGAACCCAGAGCCACCAGCCCAGGUGUAGCACCUCACAAAUCAGGUUGUGCCAUGUUCUGUCCUUCACUAGGAAAAUGUUAUACAGGCUGACACACAGCCCGAUCUUAGGGAGAUGUUUCCUAAAUUGUUAUUUCCUAUAGUCACAUAAGUAAAGUUUGUUUAAAGUGCACAAUAAUCUAGCCAGCACAAUAAAAAAUAGGAAAUUCAAAAAAAAUACUUUAGUGUCCCCUCCUUGCAUUAUAUUACAGUGCACAUUACACAUAUUUCUCACACUAGAGAGCUGUGGUAAUGGAGAAGGUACUUCUUAACCCAGUAUGCACACUCACAAUGACAAAUACAAUGAAGAUGCAGAUCUGAUGAGCACCUCUGGGCUGAGGUCAGCAUCCUGAGCAUGUACAGAGAGAUGCAAAUGACAGGGCACCAAGAGACCUCAGCGUGAGCAGCCAGUGAGUAGAAUAAUACAUGAAGAAUUUGUUUACAAAUCUCUGAUGGGCUCCUAGAGCAGCAUCCAUCUUCUCAUUCCCAAGCCCCUCACCUGUGUCUCUAAAAGGUUUAAACUAGGUUCUUCCCAACAUACCUCCCCAUCCCAUGAUUCCAGUGUUAGUGACCAUCUCUGUGCAUACUAAUAAGCAGCCUUAUCUGUUGUUCUCAACCUCUUCCCUGCCUUUUUCUUUUUUUAUAAUGUGCUCAAAAGUCUAACAUUGUCUAUAUUUUCACAAAUGACCAUAUUGCAUCCUGUGAUCACUGAAUAAGAUCACAAAUUAAGCUGUGAAUUAAGGAAUAUAACAGAGAGAAACUGUGUACCACAAUCUCCUAAUUCUUUUCCUUUUAUGAUAUCCUUAAAAAUUAAUUCAAACUAAAGACAUUCAUUUGUAACCACAUAAAGAUGACCUCAGAAUCACAGAAAAGGAGAAUAUAAAUAAAAAUAAUAUAUUUGGGUUUAGGAAUGUAGAGCUUAAAGGAAGCUGUUAUUAAGUCAGACACACAAAAGAAAUAAAACAACAAUUAAUUUUGCAGCAGGUAGGUUGACUGGUAGGUCCUGCCUGUAUUUUUUUCCUAAAAACCAUAUGACAAGAUCUCAUAGAAAAAAACUAAACAAUACAAAAGAUCAAACUGGCAUUUCCCCUCAGUAUCCUACAAGAUAUCAUUUGAAAGAUUUCCCAUGAGCAUGGGUAAGGAUUAACAGUGGAUAUGGCCAUCUCAUCAAAAGGAAUCUACAGAUUCAUUGCACUUCUCAUCAAAACUCCCAUAUAAUUCUUUACAGACCUUGAAUGAACAAUUCAACUUCAUAUUAAAAAAUAAAAUGGCCCAGGCUGCUGUACCCUCUCUAUGCUGUAAGGAGUGUGCUUUGAUGUCUAAGGUAGCAUGCGAUUCCAACUUCAUACACUGUUCAUUCAUAUUUUUCCUAAAGAUAUAGUAACAUAACUAGGAAAUGUCUAGUCAUUCUAUAUAUGUUUACAAACUCAUUGGAAAUCCCAGUAGAUAGGACAAGGUGGUCUGAAGCCCAUGCUUUCCGAGAGUAGACUUGAAUGCCGUAAGCCAAGUUCCGGCUCACUAACACUCUGUGUGACUGAAGAGUGACAAUAUAAGGAAGGUCACCCGAGAUAGGGGGAGGGUCUGUGGAGGAGAAAUCCUGAAAAACAAAACCCUGUGUCUGGCAGUGAAUGAAAAACUCUUGGAAGGAGUCUGUGUGUGCAGAGACUGAUGACCCUUGUGCAAGUUCAUUGAGGGUCAGAGCCUGGAAUUUUGCAGGUUCAGGGGUAGCUAGCUGCCUUACCUUGGGCUGGUUUGACCCUGUAGAGAUCAUAAGUUCUUGCCUCACUCUGUAGUGGACCUCACGGCUUGUGACAAUAGAUUUAAAACCAGUCAUAAUCUAACUUGGCAGAACAUGAGAUUCUAUCAGUGCAAAACCUAAAAUCUCAUCAGAUGGUAUCUUAGGUGAAUAGGGUAUCUCCCAUGUCUCAUAGUACAUGCCUCUAGCGGACGCAUACCAAUGUAUUUUAAACUUUCCUUGGUCAAUGAAAUUAUUUGUUCUGUAAAGCCAUGAAACUGAUUCCACGUUGGAGCAUGGAAUUUGGAUUAAACUAAAUCUGUGUUCUCAGAUCAUGGCCAAAUGGCUCUGGACUAAACAGUUCUCUUAACCCUUCAGGAGGAGAGCUGUGCAUUUUGCAUGAACAGGAACCUACUAUGUAUAAAUCAUAAGAUCCCCAGUGUGCCAUGGCUUUUGAAAGUCUCUCAAGCACAGUACAAAAACUUGAGGAAUCCUUUCUAGAACUAUUCAGGGAGCAACAGUGAACCAGAAAUGCACGUUGAGGGACAGGGUACAUUUAAGAGAGUCUACUGCUGAUAAUGUGAAUAGACAGAAAUAAAUCAUGUGGUAACAGAGCCCGCAGAUUAGCAGAGGCAUUUCCCCCUUACCUUUCAGACAUCCCAGCCCCUCCCAGUGUUCUUUCUCUCAUCACACCAGUCACCUAUCCUAUCAGAAAAGCAGUCCAGAUUUUGGGAAAAAAAAACACAUACUCAGGAUUACUGGGGUAUUACUGUCUAAUGAUAUUUAAUCUUAAGUAUAAAACCACAAUUAUUUGGAUUGUGCAAACACAGGUUCAUACCAAUUCCAAGAUUAUUCUGUGGAGACAUACCUAAGACUCAGGUCACAGCGGCAUAUAUUAGAAAUUCCUACUCAACCCGAGGCAUCCAUAAAUCUAACAAUUCAUUACAAAGGAAAAGGAACCAACAUCCCACACAACAGUUGCUCUCACACGACUCUCUGUCCUUGGACACUAGGAAGUUAGGGAAGUUCUGUAAGUCUUGAGAGUAUGACUAUAGUCAAGUGAGCACGGGUCAGCUAGGCAGAGCAGGCUCUCCAGCAAAGUUGAGUGAGCUUCCUUUAGCAUCUUGCACAUGCAGUCAUCAGACCCAGCCUACUCUUGCAAUCCUCUUGCUUCAAACAUUCUCCCUGGUCAAACCUGCGCUCAGGCGCAGUGGCCCAGCCUAGCUCAGCACCUCCAGGUCAGCAGCUUCCCUUGUUUCACAACAAACCCAAGUCAGCUCCCUCCUCGCCCAACCCGCCACACUGCACAGCCCGUCAGAUCUACAGGACGGCGCUGCUCCCUGCACCAACCUCAAUGUCAGAGAUCCAAACCCAGUCUGAGCAAGCUUAACUUUGGGGAGAAGCGAGGUUUAAGAAGAAUCCGGAAGUUUGAUACCAACAGCCCCUUUUGGUGACGUCAUAAUUGUUGAGACUACAUUUCCCACAAGUCAGUGCAAAGGACUUCCAGGAAGAAGCCAGAGGAGUUCUGUGUACUGCCUGGGGACCUGACCUGCUGUGUGCAAGUGAAGUUGUUAUGAAAGGAGUCUAACGCACAUGGGCAACCACAGGGCUUUCGUGCUUUUUGAAAGUGCUGUGGUAUCAGCGCGCGAUGUUAGUCUAUGAGUCGAGCCUUUCAAGUAAUGUUUAUCACAUUUACUAGUUAUUUCUGCUAAAACUCGAUUUUAAAGCUCAAAUCGACUUAUAAAAUCGACAAGGGAAAUCUUCCAUGGUUUGCUUUACUUAAAAAUAAGGAAGCAGCAAACUAAUUAGGACUGCGAAUUUCUUAUUGAACCAUGCUUGAUAACCCUGCCUGACAUGCAGCAUUUCAGGUGCUUAAGACAGAAGAAUGGGAAUUCAAAACUAGUCACCACCAGGUGUUCUCUGAGCACAGGCUUUUCUCAUCGUCAUCAUCUCCCAAGAAGAGACACAGAGCUCCUGGGCUCACACUGGUGUGUAUACCGACUCUUGGUACACUGUGCACUAUAGGAUUUCCCUUGUUCCCUUUGAUGUUCCUUAUCGAAUUUUCUCUCUCCACUGAUCAUGUCAUUGUUCAUGUUUGACACUAUUUAAACAUUUGGUAUCUGUCUGGAACUUCCCUCACUUCUAAGCAGAGCACUGAGAUGAUUCUUCUUUGAAUACAAAAGCAUCAGAAAUAUGUCCUUAGGAUUGUCAAAUGAGCUCACUGUGGUAGAGACAUUGAACCCUACAUUGGAACGAUUGAGCACUCAGAAUGCCCGUCUCUUCUUGGGAAGGUUUAUUCCACUGCAGUUCAUGCUUGAGACAAAGGCAGUGUAUUAACCCAGUGAUACAGCUAGAGGAACUAGAGUCAACAAGCAGUACAUUCACCUAGACACUUGAUUCGCAAGUCUGUUUCGAAUGAGAUGAAUCUGUGGAUUUUAAAGAGCCCAUAUAUUGUUCUGAGUCUUAAAGCAUCAAUACAUGGAGUGUAUUCAGUGAAGAGUGGGGACUUGUACUCUGAUCCAUCUGACUUAUGUUUACAUGGAUUCUGGAAAGAAGAGAACAUGGAAUUCAGAUGUAAAGAGAAUUGGCACGGGGCUGGAGAGAUGGCUCAGCGGUUAAGAGCACCCGACUGCUCUUCCAGAGGUCAUGAGUUCAAUUCCCAGCAACCACAUGGUGGCUCACAACCAUCUGUAAAGAGAUCCGGUGCCCUCUUCUGGUGUAUCUGAAGACAGCUACAGUGUACUUAUAUAUAAUAAAUGAAUAAGAGAGAGAGAGAGAGAGAGAGAGAGAGAGAGAGAGAGAGAGAGAGAGAGAGAAUUGGCACUAUAUGUUAUGGCAUUUGAUAAUGACUAUGGAGGACAUUAUGACAGACACCUGUAUACCAGAAAAUGACAAUGUCCUGAGAA